AGUCAAUAGAUACCCGGGUAGUCCAUGCCGUAAACGAUGAUUGCUAGGUGUGGGGGUCUGACCCUUCCGUGCCGGAGUUAAACACAAAUAAGCAAUCCACCUGGGGAGUACGGCCGCAAGGUUGAAACUCAAAGGAAUUGACGGGGGCCCGCACAAGCAGUGGAGUAUGUGGUUUAAUUCGAAGCAACGCGAAGAACCUUACCAGGUCUUGACAUCCACCGAAUCCUGUAGAGAUACGGGAGUGCCCUUCGGGGAACGGUGAGACAGGUGGUGCAUGGUUGUCGUCAGCUCGUGUCGUGAGAUGUUGGGUUAAGUCCCGCAACGAGCGCAACCCUUGUGAAUAGUUGCUACGAAAGAGCACUCUAUUCAGACCGCCGUUGACAAAACGGAGGAAGGUGGGGAUGACGUCAAAUCAUCAUGCCCCUUAUGACCUGGGCUACACACGUACUACAAUGGCCGUUAACAGAGGGAUGCAAUGCCGCGAGGUGGAGCGAACCCCUAAAAACGGUCUCAGUUCAGAUUGCAGGCUGAAACUCG
rnacentral:rRNA from 1 species